rnacentral:antisense_RNA from 1 species
CUCUGUGACUGGCUUGCUUGAUGGUUAGGGUCUGAUCGCUGCCUGAGACACCAUAUCGGUACUCCUCAGAGUUGAUGCAGAGUGUUCAUAUGAGGAGAGACUUUCCCUUGUCUCUGUCAUCUGUGAUUUCACUUCCCUGACAGAAGACGAAGCUUCCAUCUCAGAUGUUUUCUUAAAUGAUGAAACAGCAUACGCCUCUGUUCUUGUCAGCUCAGGGAAAACAGAUCUGGGGACCUCUUCAUCUCUGCGUUGGGAAGCAUAGGUGGUAUAAUCCCCUCCUGUCACGUCCAACGUUGCAUAGUCAGAAGCUUCGCCCUUGUAGUUGGUGCACACAGCACGGUGAUCACAGGAUCUGGUUUGCCACUGAAAGGAAUCUUGAUGCUGACCACUUCACCUCGGAGAGCAUGAACUGCUCCCAUGCCUUCAAGAGUUUUAGGAUGGCAUCAACUGUUCCAAAAACAUUGCUGAGCUGGACUUUGUAUUUCCCAGCAUGAGUCUUACGUUGGACAUUCUUCAUGACAAGUGGGUAACCAGGAUGGAACUGCGGUGUUGCUUGCAGGAGAAGCUUACUACUGGUUUCUACUUCUCCAACCUCAUUGGUGGCUAUGCAGGCACUGUCUCCAGACUGUCUAUAUUCAACCCAGUAUCCAAGAAUUUCUUUACCACCAUCACAUUCAGGUUUCUCCCACUGUAGAGUGACACUAUCUUUGGAUAUUGAAAGAAUCUCAAGUUCUCCUGGUUGG